rnacentral:misc_RNA from 1 species
CACCGGCCGGGUCCGCCGAAGCACAGAGGCUCGAGCAGGACCCCGUUUACACGGGCAACAGUCUGGUAGGCGGCCUCCCCGGUCGCAUGCCGCUGGUGCCUGGGGCGUCUGCUGGCCGAGCCCGCAGGAAGUGGUUUCAAAAAGGGCCACCCAUCUACUCAUUCGACCUGAGUUCAGGCAAGAGCACCCGCUGAACUUAA